rnacentral:lncRNA from 1 species
CUUCUAUAGCGGGACACUACUCCGAGCUUCCACGACAACUGGUCCUUGCCCGAGCUCCUACAAUAAGCAGCCCCCUUUCGACCUCUCGCGAGAAUCGAAGCCCAUCCGAACUUCUCCAGCGGAUGGAUUCCAGACGAGCUUCUAUGACGAACGAGCUCCAGCAACUAGGUCCCUGCGAUAGCCGAUCGCCUCCGAUGUCUUCCGAACCUCCCCAGCGCUAUCCGAAGUCCAUCACCGGCCGACCUCCCACCAGGCUCCCCAUAAAAUCGAACUUUUCCGGCGGACAAUCUUCGGAUGAGCUUUCGCAUC